rfam:Rattus norvegicus chromosome 15, whole genome shotgun sequence.
GGGGAUUUAGCUCAGUGGUAGAGCGCUUGCCUAGCAAGUAGAAGGCCCUGGGUUCGGUCCCCAGCUCCG